CUGCUGCCUCCCGUAGGAGCCUGGUCCGUGUCUCAGUACCAGUGUGGGGGACCUUCCUCUCAGAACCCCUACGCAUCGUCGCCUCGGUGGGCCGUUACCCCGCCGACUAGCUAAUGCGCCGCAUGCCCAUCCCCCGCCGGAAUCGCUUCCUUUGGCCGCAGACCCAUGCAGGUCCGCGGUGUUACGCGGUAUUAGUCGGGAUUUCUCCCGGUUAUCCCCCUGCGGGGGGCAGGUCGCAUACGUGUUACUCACCCGUGCGCCGGUCGCCGG
rnacentral:rRNA from 1 species